rnacentral:rRNA from 1 species
UACAGAGGUCCCAAGCGUUGUUCGGAUUUACUGGGCGUAAAGGGUGCGUAGGCGGCGCGGUAAGUCGGGUGUGAAAUCUCGGAGCUUAACUCCGAAACUGCAUUCGAUACUGCCGUGCUUGAGGACUGGAGAGGAGACUGGAAUUUACGGUGUAGCGGUGAAAUGCGUAGAGAUCAUGAGGAAGACCAGUGGCGAAGGCGGGUCUCUGGACAGUUCCUGACACUGAGGCACGAAGGCCAGGGGAGCAAACGGG